GAUGAACGCUGGCGGCGUGCCUAAUACAUGCAAGUCGAGCGAACGGACGAGAAGCUUGCUUCUCUGAUGUUAGCGGCGGACGGGUGAGUAACACGUGGAUAACCUACCUAUAAGACUGGGAUAACUUCGGGAAACCGGAGCUAAUACCGGAUGAUAUUUUGAACCGCAUGGUUCAAAAGUGAAAGACGGUCUUGCUGGCACUUAUAGAUGGAUCCGCGCUGCAUUAGCUGGUUGGUAAGGUAACGGCCUACCAAGGCAACGAUGCAUAGCCGACCUGAGAGGGGGGUCGGCCACAUUGGAACGUGGCCAGCGUCCAGGCUCCUGCGGGAGGCCGCAGUAGGGAAUGUUACGCAGUGGGGGAAAGCCUGGCGGAGCAACGGCGAGUGAGUUGUAGAGGUGCUCGGAGCGUAAAACCCUGUUAUUAGGGAAGAACAUAUGUGUAAGUAACUGUGCACAUCUUGACGGUACCUAAUCAGAAAGCCACGGCUAACUACGUG
rnacentral:rRNA from 1 species